CCUACGGGUGGCAGCAGUGGGGAAUAUUGGGCAAUGGGCGCAAGCCUGACCUAGCAACUCCGCGUGAAGGAAGAAGGCUUUCGGGUUGUAAACUUCUUUUAAGAGGGAAGAGCAGAAGACGGUACCGAUUGAAUAAGCCACGGCUAACCACGUGCGACCAGCCGCGGUAAUACGUGGGUGGCAAGCGUUGUCCGGAAUUAGUGGGGGUAAAGGGCGUGCAGCGGGGAAGUCAAGUCAGAAGGGAAAUCCCGCGGAGAAACCGCGGAACUGCAUUUGAGACUGUUUUUCUUGAGUACCGGAGAGGUCAUCGGCAUUCCAUAUGUAGCGGUGACAUGCGUAGAUCUAUGGAAGACC
rnacentral:rRNA from 1 species